GAUGAACGCUAGCGGCAGGCUUAAUACAUGCAAGUCGUGGGGCAGCAUGAGUGUAGCAAUACAUUUGAUGGCGACCGGCAAACGGGUGCGGAACACGUACACAGCCUUCCUAUAAGUGGGGAAUAGCCCAGAGAAAUUUGGAUUAAUACCCCGUAACAUAACGAUGUGGCAUCACAUUGUUAUUAUAGCUUCGGCGCUUAUUGAUGUGUGUUCGGCUGAUUCGAUAGUUGGCGGGGUAACGGCCCACCAAGUCUACGAUCAGUAGCUGAUGUGAGAGCAUGCUCAGCCAGCCGGACAGUGAGACACGGGCCCGACUCCUACGGGAGCAAGCAGUAAGGAAUAUUGGACAAUGGUCGCAAGACUGAUCCGGCCUAGCCGCGUGCAGGAAGACGGCCCUAUGGGUUGUAAACUGCUUUUGUACCAGAGAAAACCUAUCUACGUGUAGAUAGCUGAUAGUAUGGUAAGAAUAAGCAUCGGCUAACUUCGUGCCAGCAGCCGCGGUAACAC
rnacentral:rRNA from 1 species